CGGGGAGUAGCUCAGCCUGGUUAGAGCGCAGCGUUCGGGACGCUGAGGCCGGAGGUUCAAAUCCUCUCUCCCCGACUA
rnacentral:tRNA from 1 species